AGUCGGAGCCUCCCCGACGACCACCGCCCCCUGCUCCACGGUGCCCAGUCCCAUCGACCACCCAAGGGCUGAGUAGUGUGGGCGCACGGCGGGGGACUGGCAGGCGGCUCCACCUGCAGCCCCAGUGGGAGAUCCACUGGGUGAAGCCAGCUGGGCUCCUGACUCUGGUGGGGACUUGGAGAACCUUUAUGUCUAGCUAAGGGAUUGUAAAUACACCAAUAGGCACUCUGUAUCUAGCUCAAGCUUUGUAAACACACCAAUCAGCACCCUGUGUCUAGCUCAGGGUUUGUAAAUACACCAAUCGGCACUCUGUAUCUAGCUACUCUGGUGGGGACUUGGAGAACCUUUGUGUCCACACUCUGUAUCUAGCUAAUCUAGUGGGGAGGUGGAGAACCUUUGUGUCUAGCUCAGGGAUUGUAAACGCACCAAUCAGCACCCUGUCAAAACAGACCACUCGGUUCUCUGUAAAAUGGACCAAUCAGCAGGAUGUGGGUGGGGCCGGAUAAGAGAAUAAAAGCAGGCUGACCAAGCCAGCAGCGGCAACCCGCUCGGGUCCCCUUCCACACCGUGGAAGCCUUAUUCUUUUGUUCUUUCACUCUUUGGGUCCACACUGCCUUUAUGAGCUAUAACACUCACUGCGAAGGUCUGCAGCUUCACUCCUGAAGCCAGCGAGACCAUAAACCCACCAGGAGGAACAAACAACUUCAGACACCCCGCCUUAAGAGCUGUAACAGUCACCCCAAAGGUCCGCAGCUUCACUCUUGAGCCAGUGAGACCACGAACCCACCAGAAGGAAGAAACUCCGAACACAUCCAAACAUCAGAAGGAACAAACUCCAGAUACGCCGCCUUUAAGAACUGUAACACUCACUGGGAGGGUCCACAGCUUCAUUCUUGAAGUCAGUGAGACCAAGAACCCACCAAUUCCGGACACACCAAUACUUUGAGAGGCUGAGGCGGGCGUUCACUUGAGCCAAGUUCAAGACCAGCUUGGGCAACAUGGCAAAACCCCGUCUCUACAAAAAAAAAUACAAAAAUCAGCUGGGCGUGGUGGGGCCUGCCUGUAGUUCCAGCUACUCAAGAGGCUGAGGUUCGAGGAUGACUUAAGUCCUGGAGGUGCUGCUGUGAUCUUGCCACUGCACUCCAGCCUGGACGAUAAAGUGAUACUCUGUCUCAAGGAAAAAAAAAAAGAGAGAUCAAUUGCUGGGUGUGGUGGCUUAUGCCUGUAAUCCCAGCGCUUUGGGAAGCCAAGGCAGGCAAUCGCUUGAGCUGAGUUCGAGACCAGCCUGGGCAACAUGGUGAAACCCCAUCUCUACUAAAAAUACAAAAAUUAGCUGGGCAUGGUGGUGCGCUCCUAUAAUCCCAGGUACUCAGGAGGCUGAGGCAGGUGGCGGAGGUUGAACCCAGGAGGCAGAGGUUGCAGUGAGCUGAGAUUGCACCAUUGCACUCCAGCCUGGGCGACAGAGCAAGUGGUACUCCAUCUCAAAAAAAUAAAUAAAUAAAAUUAAAAUAAAAAUAAAUAUGCAACUAUCAUAGAUCCAGCCAUUUGGUUCCUUAUCUGAGAGAAAUGAAAGUGUACGUCUACACAAAGACUUGUACACACAUGUUCAUAGUAGCUUUAUUUGUCACAGCCAAAGACUGGAAACAACCCAAAUGACCACCAACCAGUUAAUGGACAAAUAGAAUACGGUCUAUCCAUAUAAUUGAAUGCUACUCAGCAACAAAAAAGAAUGAACUACUGAUACACACAACAUGGACAAAUCUCAAAAUAAUAUGCUGAGUGAAAGAAGCCAGACAAAAAUGAGUAUAUACUAUACAAUUUUAUAUACAUAAAAUUCUAGAAAAUGCAAACUUAUCUGCAUGAAAGAAAGCAGAUUAGUCUGGGCACAGUGGCUCACACCUGUAAUCCUAGCACUAUGGGAGGCCGAGGCGGGCAGAUCACUUGAGGCCAGGAAUUUGAGACGAGCCCAGCAAAAAUGGUGAAACCCCGUCUCCACCAAAAACACAAAAAUUAGCUGGGCAUGGUGGUGUGUAGUCCCAGCUACUCGGGAGGCUGAGGCAUGAGAGUUUCUUUUUUUUUUGUGAGACGGAGUCACACUGUCACCCACGCUGGAGUGCAGUGGGACUAUCUCAGCUCACUGCAACCUCCACCUCCCGGGUCCAAGCGAUUCUCCUGCCUUAGCCCCCCGAGUAGCUGGGACUACAGGUGUGCACCACCAAGCGUGGCUAAUUUUUUGUAUUUUUAGUAGAAACAGGGUUUCACCAUAUUGGCCAGGCUGGUCUUGAACUCCUGAUCUCGUGAUCCGCCCGCCUCGGCCUCCCAAAGUGCUGGGAUUACAGGUGUGAGCCACCAUGCCCAGCCAAGAAUUUAUUGAACCCAGGAGGCGGAGGUUGCAGUGAGCCAAGAUCACACCACUGCACUCCAGCCUGGGUGACAGAGCAAGGCACAGAAAAGGGGAGGGGAGGGGAGGGGAAGUUAGUGAUUACUUGGGAAGCAAGGGAGGGUAGAAUAGGCCACACAACUCUGCCCUGGUCUUAUCAGAAAGCAUGUGCUUUCUCUCCUGGAAUUUUUUUUUUUUUUUUAGAUGGAGUCUCGCUCUGUCACCAGGCUGGAGUGCAGUGGUACAAUCUCAGCUCACUGCAACCUUCACUUCCCGGGUUCACGCCAUUUUCCUGCCUCAGCCUCUCGAGUAGCUGGGACUACAGGCACCCACCACCACGCCCGGCUAAUUGUUUAUAUUUUUAGUGGAGACGGGGUUUCACCAUGUUGGCCAGUAUGGUCUCAGUCUCUUGACCUCAUGAUCCACCCACCUCGGCCUCCCAAAGUGCUGGGAUUACAGGCGUGAGCCACCGUGACUAGCCCUCUCCUGGAUUUAAAUAGUAGCAGCUGCAGUGAGCAUUUGUGGGCUUGGGAUAUUCAGUGGUCAGCAGCACUUCAUUCCCUAUGGAGACCUACCCUCCCUUGUGAGCAGUCACAGGAGAGUGGGUGACACACCUGCCCCCUACACAGAUGUACAAACGUCCAGUUCUCCCCGUCUCUGCUCCAGCUGCAAUCAAAUGGUGGGCACAUAAUCCAGGCUAGGGCAGCAACAUGUUCCCUCCAGGACUCGGCCGCUGAGUGAGCAAUUUGGGGCUGAGAGGAGCGAUGGAGGCUGUCCGGCCCAGGCGAUCACAAAAACACAUGAGGAGGGCCAGCUCACGCCUGUAAUCUGAGCACUUUGGGAGGCCGAGGUGGGCAAAUCACUUGAGGUCGGGAGUUCGAGACCAGCCUGGCCAACAUGGUGAAACCCCGUCUCUACCAAAAAUACAAAAAUUAGCCAGGCAUGAUGGCAUGCGCCUGUAAUCCCAGCUACUCGAGAGGCUGAGGCAGGAGAAUCACUUCAACCUGGGAGGCGGAGGUUGCAGUGAGCAGAGAUUGUGCCAUUGCACUCCAGCCUGGGUGACAGAAUGAGACUCUGUCUCAAAAACAAAAAAGGACAUGAGGAAACUUCUAGGAGUUGUAACUAUAUUAAUUAUUUUGUUCUUCUUUCCCCCCCCCCCUCCCUUUUUUUGUUUUGAGACAGAGUCUUGCUCUGUUCCCCAGGCUGGAGUGCAGUGGCAUGAUCUCAGCUCACUGCAACCUCCACCUCCUAGGUUCAAGCGAUUCUCCUGCCUCAAUCUCUCGAGUAGCUGGGAUUACAGGCGUGCACCACCACGCCCGCCUAAUUUUUGUAUUUUUAGUAGAGACGGGGUUUCACCAUGUUAGCCAGGAUGGCCUCGAUCUCCUGACCUCGUGAUCUGUUCGCCUCGGCCUCCCAAAGUGCUGGGAUUACAGGCAUGAGCCACCAUGCCUGGCCAAUUAUUUUGAUCAUGGUGAUGGUUUCACAGGUGUAGGCUUAUAUCAGAAUUCAUAAAAUUGCGUGCUUUAAAUGUGUACAGUUUAUUGUAUGUCAACUAUACCUCCAAAACACUCUUUUUUAAAAAUAUACUCACUCUGGCAUUUUUUUGAGACUGAGAAAAGAUUUUAAUUACUUCCAAUUAUAUUUUUCUGCCAAAUAAGUCACCAUGCGGAGACGAGGCAAUGAGAAGCCUUAGUUAUAUUUGGCUUACAUAUAUUACGCAUAGAGCUUGGUGCCUGCCUCAAUAAAUAGCAGCGCUCCAGAUAUCAUCUGACUGACACGGAGGAAAACUCUCUAUUUAGACGAGAAGUUGCAAACUCAGAACCCUUUAGGGUCCAAGCAGGUGAAGCAAAGCAAGACAAGUGUAUACAACAUGUAAUGGCAGAGACUAUGGCAAAAAGAAUUUAUGUCCAAUCUAAGUGCAUUUAAUUGCUGAGUGCUAAACAACAGACAUUGGUGGCCUGAAUUGGGCAAGUCCUGGGGUGUGGUCUUGAGGGACCUUCACUCUCCCUAUAACUAGAUACUCCAUGUAAAAUGGGUCCAUGUAACUUAGUGAUGUGAUAGUGUAUUAGUUCAUUUUCACAAUGCUGAUAAAGACAUACUGGAGACUGGGUAAUUUAGAAAGAAAAAGGGUGGACUCACAGUUCCACGCGGCUGGGGAGGCCUCACAAUCAUGGCAGAAAGCAAAAAGCACAUCUUACAUGGCAGCAGGCAAGAGAGAAUGAGAGCCAAGUGAAAAGGGAAACCCCUUAUAAAACCAUCAGAUCUUGUGAGGUUUCUUCACUGCCCUGAGAACAGUAUGGGGGAAACCGCCCUCAUGAUUCAAUUACCUCCCACCAGGUCCCUCCCACAACACAUGGGAAUUAUGGGAACUACAAUUCAAGAUGAGAUCUGGGUGGGGACACAGCCAAACUAUAUCAGAUAGCAACAGCUGAUCUUUUAGAAAAUGCUUUUAUUGGCGGGGCGCAGUGGCUCAUGCCUGUAAUCCCAGCACUUUGGGAGUCUGAGGCGGUUGGAUCACCUGAGGUCAGGAGUUCGAGACCAGCCUGAUCAACAUGGAGAAAUCCUGUCUCUACUAAAAAUACCAAAUUAGUUGGGCGUGGUGGUGCAUGCCUGUAAUCCCAGCUACUUGGGAGGCUGAGGCAGGAGAAUUGCUUGAACCCAGGAGGCGGAGGUUUCGGUGAGCCAAGAUCACACCAUUGCCUCCAGCCUGGGCAACAGAGUGAGACUCUGUCUCAAAAAAAAAAAAAAAAAUUAAAAAAAUUAGCUGGGCAUAGUGGUGGGCACCUGUAAUCCCAGCUACUCGGGUGGCUGAGGCAGGAGAGUCACUUGAACCUGGGAGGCGGAGUUUGCAGUGACCCUAGAUUGCAUCACUGCAUUCCAGCCUGGGCGACAGAGUGGGACUCCGUCUCAAAAAAAAAAAAAAAGGAAGAAAGAAAAAGAAAAAAAAAGAAAAUGCUUUUAUUUGGUGCUCCCAAGAACUCUGUGCACUAGAUAGGAUUAUUUCCAUUUUUCCAGAUGAGAAAACCGAGGCUCAGAGAUAUCACCUAGGCUCCUCCCCAGGGCCAGUGAAACAAAGACCCAGACUUACUUCUUCUUACCCUGGCCUGAGUUUUGUUUUGUUUUUUUUCCCCACCCAGCCACACCGAGAUUGUAUUGGCUUUGUUUAUUUCCAUGGGGUAAACCCAUGGAAAAACCCAACUUUCUCUUCCUUUCUGAAAUGACUGCUUCCAGGGGUCAGUGAAGUUUUGGAAGAAGGAGAAGGCGCACGGCCCCCUGGUGGAUGCUCUCGGAACUCUAAGGGUUGGAGACACAUACUUCUUCUACCCACCUGCCCAUUUCAAGUUGAUAUUUUUGUUUUUUACAAGUUCUCUUCUUAAGAAGUUCAUCUGGCCAGGCACAGUGGCUCAUGCCUGUAAUCCCAACACUUUGGGAGGCCAAGGGGGUGGAGCACCUGAGGUCAGGAGUUCAAGACCAAUCUGGCCAACAUGGUGAAACCCCGUUUCUACUAAAAAUACAAAAAUUAGCUGGUCAUGGUGGUGUGCUCCUGUAAUCCCAGCUACUUGGGAGGCUGAGGCAGGAGAAUCACUUGAACCUGGGAGGCGGAGGUGGCAGUGAGCUGAGAUCACGCCACUGCACUCCAGCCUGGGUGAUAAGAGUGAGACUCUGUCUCAAAAAAAAAAAAAAAAAAGAAGAAGAAGAAGAAGAAGUUCAUCUGUGUCCAAGAAUUCUGAGAUAAUAAUACAGGUAAAUCCACUUUAAGAGAUCCACUAUUUAAGAACUUAUUUUGCAAAAUAGAUUUGUUUAUUCAUUCCAUAAAUACAUAUAGCUGGUGUGUGACAAUCUUAACAGUGAGUGGGGGCUGGGCACGAUGGCUCAUGUCUGUAAUCCCAGCACUUUGGGAGGCCGAGGCAGGAAGAUCACUUGAGGCCAGGAGUUUGAGACCAGCCUGGCCAACAUGGUGAAACCUUGUCGCUACUAAAAAUACAAAAAUUAGCCAGGCAUUGUGGUGCACACCUGUAAUCCCAGCUACUUGGGAGGCUGUGGUGGGAGAAUCCCUUGAACUCAAAAGGUGGAGAUUGCGGUGAGCUGAGAUGGCACCACUGCACUCCAGCUUGGGCAACAGAGCAAGACUCCAUCUCAAAAAACAAACAAACAAAACAAAACAAAAAAACAGUGAGUAGGACUAACUCCAUGCCAGACACAGCUUCAAGUGCUUUCUAGAUAUUCAAAUAUCUGUCAAAGAUAUGUCUAAAAAAGCAGUAAUUUAAGGUGGGUUCUGUUAUGUCUUACCUGCUUGGUCAGCCAUAGCAAAGUACUGUAGACUGAGAAAUUUCUUCCUUUUUUUUUUUUUCUUUUUGAGACGGAGUCUUGCUCUGUCACUCAGGCUGGAGUGCAAUGAUGCGAUCUGGGCUCACAGCAACCUCGACCUCUGGGGUUCAAGCAAUUCUCCUGCCUCAGUCUCCCGAGUAGCUGGGAUUACAGGUGUGUGCCACUAUGACUGGCUAAUUUUUUUUGUAUUUUUGGUAGAGACGGGGUUUCACCAUGUUGGCCAGGCUCAUCUUGAACUCGUGACCUCAAACGAUUUGCCCACCUCAGCCUCCCAAAGUGCUGGGAUUACAGACAUGAGCCACUGUCCCUGGCUAAGAAAUUUAUUUCUUAUAGUUCUGGAGGCUGGGAAGUCCAAGAUCAAGGUGUUGGCAAGGUAGAUUUUAUUCUGAGGCCUCUUCUCUGGCUUGUAGACAGCUGCCUUCUUACUGUGUGCUCACAUGAACUCUUCUACCUCUCUUUUCUUUUCUUUCUUUUUUUUUUAUUUUUUAUUUUUUUUGAGACAAAAAUCUCGCUCUUGUCCCCCAGGCUGCAGUGCAAUGGCACGAUCUCUGCUCACUGCAACUUCUGCCUCCCGGGUUCAAGUGAUUCUCCUGCCUCAGCCUCCCAAGUAGCUGGUAUUACAGGCGCUCACCACCACGCCCAGCUAAUUUUGUAUUUUGAGUAGAGACAGGGUUUCACCGUGUUGGCCAGGCUGAUCUCAAACUCCUGACCUCAAGUGAUCCGUCCACUUCAGCCUCCCAAAGUGCUGGGUUUACAGGCGUGAGCCACCCUGCCUGGCCCUCUUUCUUCUUUCUUUUCUUUUCUUUCCUUCUUUUUGAGACAGAAUCUCACUCUGUCACCCAGGUUGGAGUGCAGUGGCGCAAUCUUGGCUCACUGCAACCUCUACCUCCUGGGUUCAGGUGAUUCUCCCAUCUGGGCCUCCCACGGGACUACAGGCGCGCACCACCACACCUGGCUAAUAUUUUUUUUUCUGAGACGGCGUUUCGCUAUAAUUUCCCAGCCUCAGGUAUUCCUUUGGCAACAUCUAUGGCCUAAGAGAGGUAGGGUGAGGGUGGAGUGGUGGAAUGGGUGGUCUCUUCUCCAGGCCUCCUUUAAAUGGACACCUUGCCCUCUAGUGUAUCUCACCCUCUUUCCCCACCAGCAUAAACAUCUUUUUUUUAAUUUAAGAGAUGACGUAUUGCUAUGUUUUUUGGGCUGGUCUUUGAACUCCUGGCCUCAAGCAAUCCUCCUGCCUCAGCCUCCCAAUGUGCUGGGAUUACAGGAUGAGGGCAAAAGAGUUUAAGAUGGUGGAGCCUUAUUAUGCAAAGGAACCCAAUCCCAGCGUCCACUGGAAGAAGACUGCCCAGGACUUCUACCUUCCCGGGAACAUCUGCCCAGAGUCCACCAGCUGGAAGAAGACUGCCCAGGACUUCUACCUUCCUGGGAACAUCUGCAUCAGACUCUGUGGGGGAGGGAAAUAAGCCUUCAUUGUGUUCA